rnacentral:rRNA from 1 species
ACUAAACUCGUGCAGGGUGCGGGGGUAAUAGGGAGUGGGAGAGGUGUAUCCGGAAUUAAGGGGGAUAAAGAGAAAGAAGGCGGAUGAAUAAGGCUGGCGUGAAAUGCUUGGGCUUAAUCGGGAGGGGUGGUCGGAGACUGUUGGGCUUGAGUGGAUGAGAGGGGUGUAGAAUUCCCGGUGUAGGGGUGGAAUGCGUAGAUAUCGGGAGGAACACCAGAGGCGAAAGCGGCGCACUGGACAGCAACUGACACUCAACUGCGAAAGCGUGGGUAGCAAACAGGAUUAGAUACCCUAGUAGUC